rnacentral:lncRNA from 1 species
UUCAUGAUAAGCUUGAUGUAUUCCGGGAAUGAUGAGAGAAGUGCCUAAAAGCACGAAAGAAAAGCUUCUCUGGGAUAGGAGAGCAUCAAUGUACUUAGAUCUCUAUAGAAUACAGUAUCUUAAGAUAAGUUUGGUCCAGGAUUACAUCAAGCAAAUCAUACUGUCAUCUCCAUCAAUCCUUAUCAGAACUAAAUUACUUGCAUAGGAGUGGUAACAUGACAUUAUUCAACAAGUUCAUCCUAAUGAUGCCUCCUCCUUAGCUGGUUUCAGCACUAGGUAGACAUUUACACCUGGGACUUUUGGAUGCAAGUUGCCAGGUCCCAUCGAGCUUCUAAUACAAUUCUUAAAAGGAAGCAAUGAGCAUUGUUCUCAUCUCCUUUGUUUCCUGAUUGAUUUCUUGGGCCCUAGGCUAUAUGUUGGAUGGUGAUGUUAUUAUGCAGGCUAUGGAGAUUCCGUGGCUUCUAUCAAGGCUUUUUUGUUAUGCAUGCAGAUGUGCAUGGUGUUCAUGGAGACAGAUUUUCUAGUGAGAAUGAUUUGGGAUCAGAAAAAAAGUAGAUGGGAUGAAGAUAGAAUGGUAAGAGGAAUGAGGGGAAGGGAGUUUCAACGUACAGAAAUCAAUGGCCGUCAUCCUUCUCCCCAUCGCUUUUCUGAUUACUGCAAUGAUGAGUGCAUUCACCAAUAUGAUGCCUCCUAACUUGGAGCAAUGUCCCCAUCAUUCCAUGCCUCCUUCGAACCCCUUUAGCAGGGGAUAAAUGGUGGAGGUUAAUUGGUGUCGUCCUUCUUCGCUCGUGCUUCCUUCGGUCCAAGUUCCUCUCCCUUUCCGAGGAUGCAAGUCAAACUACACAUACCACAUGAAAACAAGGCAAACUGUGAGUCCAUAACUAGUCUGAAAUAGAAGUAAUGUGUGCUAGAUGACAUACCUCAAUGUUGGAGGACAACAGACAUGAUCACAAAGCAGGAGGCUGUGAUCCGUAGCAGUGAUGUUGUUUCAGUAAUGUGCUUGUAUGAAAGACUCCUUUGUUUCUGAAACUUGCAGAAAAUAAGGC